rnacentral:rRNA from 1 species
UACGUAGGGUGCAAGCGUUGUCCGGAAUUAUUGGGCGUAAAGAGCUCGUAGGCGGUUUGUCGCGUCUGCUGUGAAAACUCAGGGCUUAACCCUGAGCCUGCAGUGGGUACGGGCAGACUAGAGUGUGGUAGGGGAGAUCGGAAUUCCUGGUGUAGCGGUGGAAUGCGCAGAUAUCAGGAGGAACACCGGUGGCGAAGGCGGAUCUCUGGGCCAUAACUGACGCUGAGGAGCGAAAGCAUGGGGAGCGAA